rnacentral:rRNA from 1 species
GUAACAAGGUUUCCGUAGGUGAACCUGCGGAAGGAUCAUUGUCGAUGCCUUACAUGCAGACCAACUUGUGAAUUUGUUUGAAUACAUAGGGUCGGCUCGGGGUGUUCCGCGCCUCGACCUCCCUUUGAGGUAGGAGGGGGAUGCGCAACGCGUUCCCCUCCUUGCCCAAACACAAACCCCGGCACGGAAUGUGCCAAGGAACCGAAGUUUGUUCAGUGCACCCCCGUUUGCCCGGAGACGGUGCUCCCGCGGGUGGUGUUUCGACACGUGAUAAAAGAAUGACUCUCGGCAACGGAUAUCUAGGCUCUUGCAUCGAUGAAGAACGUAGCGAAAUGCGAUACUUGGUGUGAAUUGCAGAAUCCCGUGAACCAUCGAGUCUUUGAACGCAAGUUGCGCCUCAAGCCAUUAGGUUGAGGGCACGUCUGCCUGGGCGUCACAUAUCGUUGCCUGAUGCCAGUUUCCUCGUGAUGGGUGACUGUGCAGGGCGAAUGAUGGCUUCCCGUGAGCAUUGUUGCCUCAUGGUUGGUUGAAAAUUGAGUCCUUGGUAGGGAGCGCCGUGAUAGAUGGUGGUUGAGUGACGAACGAGACCCAAUCAUGUGAGACCCCUACCGAAUUUGGCCUUCACGACCCACAUGCGUCUUUGGAACGCUCAUGACGAGACCUCAGGUCAGGCGGGGCUACCCGCUGAGUUUAAGCAUAUC